UUGUACACACCCCCCCUCGUUUCUACCCAUUGAAAGGCUUUGUGAGGUCUUGGGAGCGUUUGUCUGGUGGGCGACCCCUCGACUGAUGCAAACUUGAUCAAACUUGGUCAUUUUGAGGAAGUACAAGUCGUAACAAGGUUUCCCUAGGUGAACCUGCGGAAGGAUCAUUUUUGAAACUUCUUUACACUGUGACUAGCGGCACGAUUUCGUGGCGCGAUUGCUUCCCGUUCGCCCGGCUUUUCUUUUUCUUUUUUCUGAUAAAACGAAACCAAAACUUUCAACAACGGAUCUCUUGGUUCUCGCAUCGAUGAAGAACGCAGCAAAGCGCGAUAGGUAAAGCGAAAAGCAGACGUGAGUCAUUGAAACUUUGAACGCACAUUGCGCCAGUUUUCUGGCAUACUGCGUUGAGCGUCGGCCUUCCUCCACAGGUAUUGCUGUUUCUAACAGUCAAAGGCAUGGAAAAGCACCCCUUUACCCACCCGUGUUUUCCACAAAAAAACGACCUCAGCGUAGUAAGAUCACCCCCUGAACUUUAGCAUAUCAAAAAGCGGAGGAAAAGAAACCAACAGGGAUUGCCCUAGUAAAGGCGAAAGAACAGGCAAAAGCUCAGAUUUGAAACCCUCGGGAUUGUAGUCUGGAGACCUAGAUUUGGAAGCCCACCAAGUCUUCUGGAAAGGAGCGCCAUGGAGGGUGACAGCCCCGUAGCGGCACCCCUGUAAAACUAGGUCAACGAGUCAUGG
rnacentral:rRNA from 1 species